rnacentral:lncRNA from 1 species
UGCAGACUUCAAUAAAUAGAAAUGCUAAAAUGCAUAGUCUGCCCUCUGAGUCUGACCUAUAUAGGAAUUGAACAGUGAGACCAAAAAGCUGAAAUUUAAGGCAUUCAACCAAGUAAUAGUUCGUAAUAGAAUUAAAUAGACCAGAAACUAAACUCUAAGGUUAUGUUUAAAUUCUAGCCAAAAAAGAAAGAAAGUCACAUCAAUGUUUGAGGGCUCAAGGCACCUCUAAUGAGCUACAAGAUUAAAUUAAGCAAUGAUAAACAAAUAGAAAAUAAAUAAAAGAACCAAACAAUUUGUGACUCACCGUGUUGACAAUAACUUGCAUAAACAGCAUUAUUAACAACUCCAUACUGAUCCAGUUCGUAGUCACGGACUUUGAGCUCAACCUCAUGGAACGAAGUCAUUCUGCAAUUAGGAAAACCAAUAAAAUUUUAUUCACUUCUCCCUUUUAGCAUACCACCAUUCCCCAAUUUUAAAAAGUGAACUCAAAUUGACGAAAAAUUGAUUCCUUUCAGCUCGAAGUUGUGCAAAUGGGCUAAUUCCGAUUCUGGCUUUUUCUAAUCCUUACCAAAUACACAAUAUCCAUAAGUAUUCUGAACAUAGAUUACUUCAAAUCUUCUCGAUUUUAUUGUAGUAAAGCAAAAUUAACCAAAAGCAAAUUAAUAAGACUGGAAAGUACCCUUGGCCGCCUUUGAGAUCAAAAAGUGCUCCGACAGUGAAGCUCCUUGAGGUGGAGAGCGUAGGGACACGCAGCGGCAUCAACAGCGGAGAGAUUGGAAAGGAUGAAGAUGGACGGUGAAGAUUGAGAAAAGUAGCAUUUGGACGAGGGGAAGGCAAGGCGGCGUGCGCCGGGAAAACCGAAGCCUGGAGCAUCUGGUUGGAUCUUGCUGCAAGGUUGCCCAAGAAAGUCUAAUGAUUUGAAGGUUAAUAAUGAAUUAUUCAUUAAAGAGUGGGUUUCGGUGAACAAUAUUUUGAAGAUGGGUUUAACUUAAGUAGUAAUAAAUUGACUUGAUAUUUGGAUGAUGAGUAAGACACACGGUUUUUUACACAAAUAGGGUGAAAAAAAAAACUAAAAUAAGAUGUCAGAAAAAAUAUUUAUUAAAAUGAGUUAUUUUUUCAUUGGAGCCUAUUAGAUAUGUGCCAAUGAAUAAAAAAAUAAUAAUUUUUUUAAAAAUAAAAUAUAAUUAAAUAUUUUUCGGGGUCAGUAUAUAACCCGUAUAAUACAUAGUAUUGGCGCCUAUCUCAGAGGCGCCAAUGGUGGUGCCUAUCUGGGAUGCGCCAUUAUUGGUGCCAUGUUGAGAGGUGCCAAUGGUCUGAUUUUUCCCUAUAAAUACCCUCAACACAGACAUAAAUUUUACUAGAGAAACGGAAGAAAUAAGAAAGAAGGAAGCAAAAGAAAAGAAGGAAGGAAAAGAAGAAAAAAAUAAGGUAUUUUGGUUUAUUUCUUUUUAAAUAGAAUGUAGAGUCUUGUUAGUAAUUUUAUUAUUUGAAAGUUAUUUUGUGAGGUUAUUAAUUUUGUUAGCUUCUGAAUGAAAAAUUCUGCAUUAAAAUUUUUAUGUAAUUUGUUUACAUUUUGAAACUGUUUUAAGAAAUUUGAAAUUCUUUUUAACAGAUCUAGUAUUGAAAAUGGAGAAUCAGUUUUUUGUAUGCUUUUAUUUCAAUGGAGAAAUUUUGACAACAACUGUGGGAUGUAUAUUUGAAUGUCGCAAACAAGUAGCAAUGAGAUUUGAUAGAAAUAUCUCGUUUGAUGAUAUGAAGGAAAAAAUUAGUGAAAAAAUUUAUAGACGUUGUGGGAGAAGGAUAUCAAAAGUUUUCUACAAGUUUCCAGUUUCAACAGAUCCAAUAAAAUUUACCGAAAUAGAACUUGUAGACGAUGAAGACAUGGAGACAAUGGUCGCUCUUUAUUGUAGGACUCAGAGUAACAAAAAUGUACCGAUUCAGUUAUUUGCUGAGUUAGCCGGUGUGGAGGCAACUGAAGAUCCCACUCCAUUACGUAAAGAAGAUGGAGUUGAAGUGCCAUGUAUGGUGGUUCCGGUAUCGUAUGUUGAUAGUCAAUCAACUAUACAUGGGAUAAAUAUUGAUCUUAAUGCUGCAGCCGAGAAUGAUGUAGUUGGUGAUGAUGUAUACGAUAGUAGUGAUCCUGUUGAUUACGAAGUGGAUAGUGAGAGUGAUCCCGAUGCGGACGAGGUCCCGGAUGAUAUUGACGACGAAGACGUGAAUGAGGAUGGAAACGUUAAUGCGUCUUCAGUCGGAAACCAGAUUCAUUGUAUUGUGAUACACAAUAAUCCUGGGGCACACAUGUCUCGGAUAGACCCCGAUGCGGCACAGGCAGCUGGGUUUCCGGAGUACCUUGAAAUACCACAUGCUAACCGAAUGGGCGUAUAUUCUGAUCCAGAUGAGUUAUACGUGGGCCAGAGAUUUGAAAGUAAGGAAGAAUGCAUGUUUGUCAUUAAGCGGUAUAGCAUGAAUAUAUCAGUAUAUUACAAAGUCAUCGAGUCUAAACCAACAUUAUAUAUUAGAGAGUGUUGGAGGUCGGCAGAAGACUGCAAUUGGCGGAUACGAGCUGCAUUUAUGCAGAAGUCACAGAUGUGGGAGAUACGAAUAUUUGUUGGGCCUCACACAUGCACUUCAACACGUAUGACAGAAGAUCAUCGAAAACUUGACUCCAAAACUAUCUAUACAUGCAUCAUGCCAAUGGUGAAAGACAUGCAGACCAUUAAAGUUUCGGUACUGAUUACCGAAAUACAAGCACGAUUCCAGUAUCGAGUAUCAUACCGAAAGGCAUGAAUAGCUAAACAGAUGGCAAUGGAGCAAUUGUAUGGAGAUUUCGAUGCAUCGUACAAUGAGUUACAGGGAUGGAUAGCUGCCAUGAGGGAACACGUGCCGGGGACUGUAAUUGAGUUGCAGACACGAUCUUAUUACGGGCCAAAUGACCAACUAAAAUCGAGAAAAAGAAUUUUCCAUCGGAUGUUCUGGACGUUUGAUCAAUGUGUGCGCGCAUUUCCCCACUGCAAACCAUUUGUGCAAGUAGAUGGAACCUGGCUAUAUGGAAAAUACACACAGAUCUUACUUCUUGCGGUUGCUCAAGACGGCAACAGGAACGUGCUCCCGAUAGCAUUUGCCAUCGUCGAUAAGGAGAACAUGGAAUCGUGGGAGUUCUUUCUUACCAACCUGCGGAGAUAUGUUAUUAGCAACGAUAAUAUUUGUAUCAUCUCCGAUAGAGGGAAAGGAUUAAUUGCAGUCAUUAGGCGUUCUGGUGUACCAUGGAGAUCUGUUUACUGCAUCUGACACAUUGCGGCUAACUUCCAGCGAGAUUAUAAGAAUGCAGACUGGAAGAGACAAGUUGUGAGAAUGGGUAAAGAAUUACCUUAUCUUUUCAAUAAAAGUUUUAAUGUUUUAGAGCAAUACUGUAACUUAAAUUUUUUUUAAUACAUAUGCAACAUACAAGCUAGAGCCACACAUUUUUCACCAAAGAAUGUCCCGACUUGAGAGUGACAUGGAGGGUCAAACCAACACAUCUUUCCGGCAGUGGCUGGGUACCAUGGAGCCGUAGUAAUAGGCUCAAAGUUUUGACGAGGGCUAUCGUUAUGGUCAAAUGACUACAAACUUAGUGGAGGGGAUCAACGCCGUGUUAUUAAAAACACGACAUCUUCUAAUUUUAUCUGUCUUCUCGGCAACGUUCUACAGGUUGGCUACCUUGAUGCCAAGAAUGGGUCAGCAACAAGUGAACCAGAUGGAGGCGGGACAUGUCUUUGUUGAAAGCAUUAGGGAUGCAAUGGUUGUAAACCGUCGAAUGGCGAGGUCGAUGACAGUAGAAGUAUAUUCACGACAUAAUGAAACGUUUCGAGUUACAGAGACCAUCGGUUGUCGACCCAGUACACCACCUAGGUCUUACGGAGUUGAUCUCCGAAAUAGACGGUGCGAUUGCAGGAGGUUUCAAACACUUCAUUUUCCAUGUGCACACGUCGUGGCAGCUUGUACUAAAGUUGGGCUCAAUGUAGAACAAUUUAUCGAUGAAGUGUACAACAUCGAACGCACAUUACGUGUAUGGGAAAACGAGUUCCCCGUGCUUCCUGACCUAUCUACUUGGGAGGUACCUCCGACGACCUUCGAGCUAGUCCCAGACAAAAGGUUGCGUAGAAACCUGAAAGGUCGUCCGCAAUCAUCCAGAAUCCAUAACGAAAUGGACAUUAGGGAGAAAUCUGACGGGAAUUUGUGUGGCGUAUGCAGAUUAGCCGGUCAUAAUCGGAGUAAAUGUCCUCUCCGAAACUACCAUGUUGGACAAUCGUCUCAAUCGGGUAGAAAUUGAUAUGUACUUCAUUACAUAAAGAUGGUUUGAAUCAAAAAAUUGUCUACAAUUUGUUGCAGUUAUGGAGCAAUUUCAAAUUGUAAAAUAAAAAAAACAUUAUAAUUUUAUUUACAUAAAAAACCAUUAUAAUUUUAUUUACAUAAAAAGAAUCAUUACAUAAAUAUAAGGUUGUUUAUUACAAAACCCCUAAAAUUGAUGGUUUGAUGGUGUGGUUCUAGGGGUAUAUUUUUGUGGAGCUCGACGCUCACGUUGUGGGUGAUUAUGGUUAUCAACGUUCUCCUAAACAGUAUGUUGGGGAGUGUGAAACAUAGAUGAAUAAUCAUAUGUCUUAAAUGCCAUCGAUGAACUUGAUCCGGAAGGAGAGGAAUACGACAACGGAUAUUGGUCGGACGAAGCAGAGUACUGAGGUGGAUACGAGGCCGCAAAAUAGUCAUCGCCCCCAAUUCUGGAUUAUAAGAACUAUCCUUAGAAUGUGGUUCUGUCUCUGGCACUAGCACUGGCUCUGGCUCUGGCUCUGGUGCAUGAUGUAGAUCUGGAUGGGGUUGCGUAAUUCGUGUCGUAUGCAGAGGGACUACAAUCGACUGCCCACCAAACAAAAAUGGUUUCCAUGUCUCACAGUACCACUGUAUGUACUCUAACGAGGGCUGCAAAUCUGGAGCACGAUCCAUCUGAGGUACCCUCCCGAACCGGUUGUUCCAUAUCGUAAUAUAUUCUUCGUGCACUUCUCCCAAAUUAUCUCCAUACCUCCCCCUCUUGCUCAUCCCAUGGAUCUCCCCCAAUUGUACUGGCAGUGUCGGGAUAUACUAUAUGCAACCGAACUGCCAGAGUACUCGAUUGCCAUGAUACCACUCCACUACGUUAAAAUUGAUAAUGGGUGCGCUAAUGCACCAUAGGUUUGAGUGGACGUGGGCAGAUGAUGGCAUAACUGCCAUAAUUUUCGGAGCAGAAUACGGCAUCCAAGUGAACUGCACAGUUAAUAACGUUGUUAUAUUAACGCAGGUCGAGUGAGAUAAAAUAAUAAAAUUAAGUUUAUAUUCGAAAAACUUACCCCCUCUCCAGCAUGAUUCUCAAUCAUUAGACGAUAUAUCAGAACCGUCGGUGACCUCCUGAUACCCAGAUUAGUACUCCACCUACGAAAACAAAUUGUUAGAAUAAUAUAAUUAAAAAAAGUCAACUAAUUAUUAUAAUGAGUAAAAAUUCAUCACCUAUUAACGAGUGGAAAUAUAUAUGAUUGAUGACUAAUGGAUGCCAAGAAUGGCAUCCGGUAAAGUGCCCACGACUGCAGCAGUAUGAGGCAUCCGCCUAUGUCAACCGCAGAAGGAUCUGUCGUCCGACAAAGUUCGCGAUACAACAUGGCUAAAACUGCGGACCCCCAACUGUAUGAACGAGUGUUAUGCAAAUUGGAUAAUAGGGGUAAGUACAUCAAGUGGACCUUACUGCCGUUUGCAUUCGGCAUGAGUACACCCUCUAUAAGGUGCAUAAUGUAAGCUUGAACAGCUUGCAUCACCUCCCAUUCAUUAGCAGUACUUGGCAAAUGCUCAAAAUUGACCUUUAGCCAUGAAAAUUUCAAACCGAUAAAUUUCCCCUGACUUGGCGAGCGUCCAAGUAAUUCAUUGCAAAAGGUAGCCGGCCUAGAGAUUGAACUUAUACCCGUGAUCGCAUUCCCGUCUAUGGGAAGCCCGAGCUGUACUUCAACAUCCUCUAGAGUGACAGUACACUCUCCGCACGGCAAAUGAAAUGUAUGGGUCUCCGGACGCCAUCGCUCGACUAAAGCAGAAAUCAUGUCGUAUCGCAAAUCAAAAGUCCGGAUCAAUGCUGCUGAUCCGAACCCGGCUAACUCUAAGUAUGGUAUUAGGCGUUCAUCUGGCUGAAACCCUACACUAUUAACACGGCCCCUCAAUACGCGGUACAGACCCUGACAUUAUUAAAUUAGCAAAAUAGUUAAUACAAUAUAAUUUAAUUCAGCAAAUAACAUGAAUAUCAAAUAAAAAUUUUAUUACCAUCUCAUUAAUAGUACUUGAUAUGUGAUUAUUAUUAUUAAUUAGAGAACACAUUUCCUGCAAAUCUGCAAUCAAAAAAAUGAAUUCAGGUAAUUUGUUUCAAAAAAUCAAUAAUUACUGUUAAAUAAAUACAAAAUCAAAUUAAAUUAAAUUAUAUAAAAGUUACAUUAUAUAAAAAUUAAAUGAGUUAACAACAACUAUAUGAUUAAAAAAGUCAGUUAUAAUUAAACUUUUAAUAAAAUGAUUUUUAAUUUUUUUAUAAUUAAACUUUUAAUGAAAUGAUUUUUAAUUUUUUUAUAAACUUUAUAUGUUAAACUCACCAAAUACUAAACUAAACACAACAGCUUAUAGCUUAAUCCUAAAUUACUAAUAAAUUAAAUUUUAAAUAAUUACAAACACAAAAAUUUAUAACAUAAUCCCAAAUUACUAACAAAUUAAUUAUAAAAUAAUUACAAUAUUCAUACAAAAAAUUACAAUAUUACAAUAUAUCCCGACAUUACAAUAUUCAUACAAAAUUACAAUAUUACAAUAUUCAUACAAAAUUACAAAAUUACAAUAUUCAUACAAAAAAAUUGCAAUAUUCAUACAAAAUUAUAAUAUUACAAUAUUCAUACAAAAAAAUUACAAUAUUCAUACAAAAAAUUACAAUAUUCAUACAAAAUACUAAUCCAAAACUAUAAAUACAAAUUUAAUUAUAAAAUAAUUACAAUAUUCAUACAACAUUAAAAUAUUCAUAAAAAAAUUAAAAUAUUCAUACAAAAAAGUUAGAAUAUUCAUACAAAAUUCUAAUCUAAACUAUAAACACUAAAUAAAGAUAAUUUAUAAUUAAUAAUUAAUAACAAAAAAUUCACAAUAUCUUCUAAAAUAUCUUCUAAAAAAUUCACAAACUAUAAACUUUUUAAAUUAUAAACAAAAUUAUUUACUAAAAAAAUACAUUACCUUUUUUCUUUCUUUCUUCUUCUUCUUCUCCUUCUCUUCUUCUCCUUUCUCUCUUUUUUUUCUCUACCGUGUGGCAUGUUGGGACCAUUUACAUUUACUUAUAGGCAAAAAAAAAAAACAUACAUCAAGGGACAACACAUGCUGUUGGUGAAGCGGUGCAGCGGUGGGCAGAAGGCCACCAUUGGCACCUCUCUAUGAGCCACCUUCAUUGGCGCCUACCUAAUAGGUGCCACCCGACCCGACCCGACCUGACCCGUUGACCGUAUUUUGACCCGUAUUUUUUUUAAAAAUUAUUAAAAAAAUAUAAAAAAAUAUUUUAUUCAAAAAAAUUAUUAUUUUUUAUUCAUUGGCGCCUAUCUAAUAUGCUCCAAUGAAAAAAGUAACCCAUUUUGGUAAAUACUUUUUCUGACACCCUAUUUCAGUAGAUUUUUUUUUCACCAUAUUUGUGUAAAAAAACCCGUAAGACACAUCUCAAAGAGAGUAAAUUCGAAUAGAGAUUAUAGUUUUUUUUAAAAAAAAGAAGUACUAAGCGAUUACAUCAAAUCGAUUAACCCAUAUUAAGGUAUUGUUCUUGAAUUAUCACAUUCAAGGUUUAAUUGCAUGAAUCUUUUCUCCCAUGCUAUGCGCAACCCUUCAAACAUAGCUCACGCUUCAACUUGAAAAAUUAUUUUCUUAUCAACCACCAUUGAAAACUCAUACAAUCAUCUCGCAUCAGCAUCUCUAAACACGCCUCCCACCGAAGCACUAGUGCUAUUGGACGACACUACUCCAUCUAUGUUGAGUUUAAUCUACCCUUUCUCCGGUGGUGACCAUCAUAUAGUUAACACCGUAGGAUUCAGUUUAGGCUAGUUUGAAGUCUAUUUUGCAUAACUCCUCGCCAAAUAAUACAUGUAUAUACAAGUUCUUGUACACAUUUAUUACUAUUAGCAAAAACAUAAAGAUUACGAUUCAUCCAUAACAACCAACAUAAUACGGAGAGAAGGGAAUACCAUUCAAACUCCUCAGACCUCCAACUCCUUGAAUUCAUUAAGUUCCAUAACAACCAUUAACCAAGCAACAAGGAAAAGAAUGCACUCAGAGCAUGUUUUUGCACCACAGACUGCCAUACCGCUCUUUAGAAAGUACAAUCCCUAACAGCAUGGAGUCCUAACUCCAACACCUCACCGCAUAUAGGACAAUGUCCCUCAUUAGUCACGUGUCUCCUUUUUCGUUCACCAUUCGUCAGCAGCCUAUCUUUCCAAAAAGCCCAAAGAAAGACACGCACUCUUUGAGGCACCUUAGAUUUCCAUAUUAGCUUUCAGCAGUUAUAGAAUUCGCUAAGAAUAGGUUGGUGCAUAUUCCUAUACGUUUCAACACUUGAAAAGUUGUCUUUAGUCAUCCAUUUCUAAGCUAACCUAUCCGAUCCUACAUCAGUGAAUGGUGGAACCAUAGUUGCAACAAGCUUAAUGACGUUAUCAGGAAGUAAACUGUGUAAUCAAAGCCAAUCCUACCCCUACUACUAUUCACCAAGUCACAGAAACGUAACGUAUCAUCUAGCUGGCCAACCCCUAUGUAAAAAUCCCUAAGUUGACCAACUUGAUGAACCCACAAAUCAUUCUAGAAGUUCGUAAGUGGACCAUCCCCUAAAGACUAGAACACAUAUCUGACCACACCUUCAUCAAAGAUCUCCAAAUAAAAGAGCAAUUACUCCUUACUAUGGACCCUUGUACAUUAUACUUGUUUCUCAAUAAUUUCACCCGUAAAGCUUAUGUAUUAGUGAGAAUUUGGAACCCCAACUUGAAUAAGAAAAUUAUGUUGUGAUCAACUAGGCUUCUAAGUCUAAGACCCCUGGAAUCGAAAAGUCGACAACAUUCUCCCAAGACACUAAUAUUGGUUUCCUAGACUCCAAUGUCGUUCCUCAUAUGAAAUUACUAGCUAAAUUUUCAAUUUCACUGCAUAUAGAAAUAGGAAUACGAACUGUGCUCAUGAAAUAGUUAGGAAUAACAAGAAAUACAAAUCUUACCAACUUAAUUCUUCCCGCCAAAGAUAGCUCCCUGCUUCCUAUCUAUUCAACUUAUUCUGAACUUUGCUAACCACGAAAUCAAAUGUACUAGUCAUAACUCUUUUGUGAAAUAGUGGCAUGCUAAGAUAAUUACAAAGAUCAUCAACACAUAUGAAACUAAUUUCAUCAACACGCCUUAGAUUGUGCUCACAGUGUGAAAAGAGAAGGCCAUAUAACAGUGAUUUUAACAACCAAGUGACUUAAAUGAAAACUUUCAAAUAGUUUAAAAACCAUUUUAUAAAUUUUUGAAGUUAAGUGACCAAAAAUAAUUUAGUGACUUUUGAUGUAAUUUACCCUUAAUUUUUAACUACAGUUGUUCCUAAUAAUUCUACACCAGUUCAAAAUUUGGCAUUUUUUUCUCUCAUUACAUUUUUACAAAAUUGAAGCUUUUUUUUAUUAAUUUAAAGUUUUAAUUCAAUUGAUAAUAGUUGAUGUAGCGUUGUACAACUGAUUUAAGUAAAUAUGUUGGAAAAAACAUUUGAGAAACUAAGUUGAUUUUCAAAAAAGUUAUUGAUCUAUAUUGUUUUUGAAGAGAGAAAGGAAAACAUGUCAUACAGGGCGUGUUUUCAGUUAGCUAAAAGUUGUUUUUUUUUUUUGCGAUUGGAAAUUAAAAGUUUGUACAUUUAUUUUUGUUCGUGUUUGAGAUAGACAUGGUUACAGUUUUAAGGAAUGUUUGAAUUUACGGUGGAGUUGGGUGACCUACAAAUUUCAUAUGCCAUGUAGGUAUGGAGCCAUCACCCAAGAACUCAGAUCACGUUGCAACUUAAGGUCCUAGCUGACAGUGAUUAUAGGUAUCAAGUUGAAUUGUAACUAGAGCUUCAAGUUUACAAAGGCUAUGUUGUCAAGGGAUGGAGCAUAAAUGGGGUCAUAGUUGAUAGUGGUUAUACGGGCACGACAACGAGUUCUUCUCAUCAGAAGAGGAUGCUUUAUAUAACUCAAACACAAAUACGAGGAAGAAAAACGUAGUGUCGUUUCAAUAUAAUCAAGUAAUGCAUCUUAUCCAUCACUACUAAAGGCGAUGACCCCAUUAUUAUAACCUGUGACAGAAUUAAGGUGUAACAGGUUAUACUAACAAGGUCACCAUAUUUGGUGUAGAUGGACAACACAAAUUACUUAAUUAUAAUGAAAGGCCCCUUGCAUUUUUCUUCCUCGCACUUUUGUAUGAGUUUUAUGAAGCAUGCUCUUUCGAUGAGGAGAAACUCAUUAUGGUGUCUGCAUUAGCACCAUCAACUACGACCCCAGUUAUGCUCUAUCCUUUGAUAGCAUAACCUUUGUAAACUUGAAGCCUUAGUUACAUUUCAACCUGAGACGGUAUAAUCACUGCCAACUUGGACCUUGAGUUGCAAAGUGAUCCCGGCUUUUCAAGUGAUGGCUUCAUAUUCACAUGACAAGUGAAAUUUGUAGGUUAUUGAGCUCUACGACAUCACCGUGAACCCAAACACAACUUAAAAUUAUGACCAUGUCUCACUUAAAAUGAAAGACAAAUAAAUCUUUAAACCCGAAAAUUUCAACACGCAAGAAAAAAAAUUUAAAGGAUACUGAGAUAUGGUAAGUAUGGGAUAGGAACGUGCAUUUAUAUAAGGGAUGAGGCGGGGUAAAAAGGGAAAAUUAUCCCAAGAAUCCUUGGUUGCAAUGUAUGAAAUUUAUCUUGGGAAUCCCGAUUUGCAGGGACUCAGAGGUAGAAGCAAUCAAGUUGGCCUGGGGAUUGAAAUAGGCAGAGAGAAAAUGCUCCAUGCAAUGGAUGUUUUCAUCUGACUUGUGGCUAGAAAAAGCGUCUUGCAAGAAUUGUCUUCAUCUAAAAUGACAGAUGAAAACGCCACCUGCAAAGAGAAUUUUCUCUUUAAGUGUUUCAACUAUCAAAUUUAAUUACUUCUAAGCCCUUGCAACUUGAGAUUCCCAGGAUAAAUUUCAUGAUUCUCGAAAAACACCGCUGCAGGGGUGUGUUUUCUCCCCUAAAAAUUUCAUGUGUGUCAAGGUAGGAGCUCUAUAGAAAGAACUCAAUACAAUAGAUUUUCCAUACCGACCAUUGAAGUAGAUUGUUGAUUUGAAUGACACUUGGCAUUAGGAGUAAUUGGCAUUGUCGUGAAAACUUAAAUUUCGUUCCUACAUUGUUGUUGAAGCAAAGGUAAUUUGUUAAAGUAUGUGUAGGUUUAGGGUUUUGGGUGAUGAAAACUAUAUUUUUUUGCUAUUUUCUUGAUUUCAAAUAUAUGGAACAGGCUAUUUGAUUGAAGAAGAACAUACGAGUCUGAGAUGUUAUCCAUUACAACGGUCAAAAUUUGUGAGACCGAAAUUGACCCUAUUUUUGUAUCAGCAUAAUCUGAAUAUCUGACAUUCAACUAGAGCGUAACGUUAAAAGAGUUUAGGAUAAGGGUUAGGUGCAAUGUGUGGAUCUGAAAAAGAAUAUUAAUCCUUACAUGUAAAUAUCUUUUGUCAUUGGACCCCACUAGUUAUGUCAUUUUUUAGAUCACUAGGGACAACAAUUUGGAGCAGGUGGUUGAAUCCCAUUGCUCAAGUGGGAAUGUUGUACUAGAGUCAUAUGUCGACUUCAUCGAAGAGAACGAAAGUGGCCUGAGCUCGAUUACACUGUGCUCCCCAAAUUCCACACUAGAUCAAGAAGUUGAAAGUUCCAUGCCAAACCAUCAAUACGCACAAAACUAAUAUCUCUAAAAAUUAUUGUCAGCCUAACACAGUUUAGGAUCACAAAAACCAAUAAGCGUAAUAGCUAAAGAAUUCUGCUAAUAUUUUUUUGCAACAACUCUGAAAGAAUUCGGGGAUGACUAAGAUGUUUUCAUAACUAACCUAAGAAGGCGUGUUGUACUGCAACCUAAUGUAUGGAUAAUUUCCAACACAGCCACCGGAAUACAGACUACAUUCGAUCAACGUUCAAGCCUAUGGGAUCGUGCACACCAUGGGUAUUGUUUGUGUCAUAUAAGGUCUAACUACAUGGGCUGAUACCAUAAGGAUGCGGAGUGUCGACAUGUCAUUAACAUGGGUAUGUUGUGCAUAGAAUUUCUUUCAUGUAUAACAGUUUAACAUAUACAUUUAGGUUGCUUUUCUUGAAUGCAAUAUUUAUUGCCAUCGACAGGGUACAAGCUUGUCCAACAUCGAUUCCAUGAAAUGUUGGAGAGACUAUAGGUUGUAAAUCAAUUGGGUGCGAAGUACCUCGAUGAGAUACCGAAGGAGCAGUGGGCAUAGUCGUAUGACGCAGGACUAUAAUACGAAUACAUGACCAUGAACCUAGUGGAAUGCAUUAAUUCUAUAUUGAAGGGGACAACGCCAUUUGCUGGUAACCUCGGUGGUCAAUGAAACAUAUUUCCGAUUGGCAGCCUUGCUCCCAAAGUAGGCUGAAACAUACGCGAGUAGGUGUUGAAAGAUAUUGAGGAAAAUGUAGAAAUCGUGAACUCAAUGACUUCAGUAUGUCACUCGUGACCAAAUCUAGUAUUUUAGGUUAAGCAGCCCCAUAGACCCAAACGAGGAAUUAUCGGUGAAGUGUAUUGCAUAAACCUGAGAUAAAUGACUUAUGACUAUGGGAGAUUUCAAACACUUUGUUAUUCACGUGUAGAUUGCAUGACCUACAGUGACGCAAAAAAAUUAGGCCCGCUUAAAAUAUGGGUUGGGCUUGGGCUUGAACAUCUAAGGCCCAAGCCCAGCCCGACCCAACUUGACCCAUUUUUAAGUUUAUAAUACUUUAUAUUAUAUUAUUUUUAUAUAUUAUGUAAUGUAGAACACAUUAAAAAAAUAAACCUAUACUAAAUAUAUAAUACUAUUCUAAUAUAAAUGUAAAAUAAUGUUAAGAUGACAAUAUAAAAAUUUUCCAUAAAUAAAAAAUGUAUAAAAUUAUUAAAUAUUAAAAUAAUAUAACAUAAAGAUUUUUUUUAAAAGAUUUUAAAAAUAAUAUGGGUGGACCUAAAAUGGGCUUGGGUUAGUCUUUUGUAAAUAUGGGAGGGUUUGGGCAAAAUUUUAGGCACAUAUUUUGGGUCAGGCCGGGCUUGGACAAACAUAAAGUAUGUUAAUAUCAUGCUUAAGCCUGGUCCGAACCCGACGCAUGAGCACUUUUAGUCCCGGGUAAAAGGAUGUGGCCGUCUACCUUGCACGCUCCUUUCGAGUUGGUACCCGAUAAGAACUCACGGCGCAACUCGAAAGGUUGGCCGAGCUCAACUCAAAUAUGAGACAAUAUGGAUAUUUAGGAGUGAUGAGACACAUCAAGAUUAUGUGGUUACUGUCGGAACCCAGGGCAUAUGAAGCCAACAUGUCCACACAACCCGGGAGCAUCAAGGAGAAGAGCUAAUUAAAACACUAAAUCAUGUAGUGAAAACAUUAACUUAUUUGUUUAUUCAUUAAUUUUUUCUGUAAACUUUAAGUUAAUUUUAAUUAUUGAAGUAAGAUAUAAUACAAUAUGUAAGCUAAAGUUUUAAUCUUUUUUCGAACCUUCUGAGCAACUCUUUGCUUUAUCAAUAUAUUGUACUUAACAACUUAAAUGAAAAAGUAAUAUAAAUAAUUCUAAAUUUUAAACACACAAUAUAUGGUACAAAGGGAACCAAUUUAAUAGAUUUGUUUCAUAAAUUGUAAAAAAGUGUACAUUUGGGAUGUAAAACAAGGUAUACAAUUUGGGAAAAUUACAAAUAACAUAACCAUCGGUAUCCUGAAUGUGUGCCACAACCUGGUGGGCGUCGGGCACUCCUAGGGUUCCGUCGCACUAUUUAGGUUGGCAGCUCCUCAUCGACUUUGUCUUCAUCUUCACGUACACAUCAGGGUUGGCUGUUGAAAUCCUUUUAGCCGUUGGAAAAGUUACCACUGGAAUAGUAAAGAAAACGGGUCCUAUAAGACACAUUUUCCUUUCUCUAUCCAAAAACAACGUAAAUCGGUAAAUUUUAAAAUUUUCAACCUACUUUCUCAAAUGUUUUUUUUUUCAGCAUAUGUAUAAAAAUUAGCCGGCGUUGUACUUACAUGAUUAAUCGAUAAAUUAAUAGUGAGUCUGGAUCUUUUUAGAAAUAAAGUAACUUUUUGGGUAAAGAACAAAAAUAGUCACCUAAUUAUUCAGUUUGUUUUGUUUUAGUCACCCAAAUAUUUUUUUUUGUUUGUCACUCAAGUUUCUAAAUUAAAUAUUUUAGUCACUCUUCCGUUAUUUGUCUAACUGAAGUCUAACGUGGGCUUUGUUCUAUUGGUCUAGUAAUAAAUUUAUCCCACCAAUGUUAUACAAUUGAUGUCCUCAAAACUAAUUAAAAAUUCGACAAAGGCAAGUGCACCUAUCAAUUAAUAGUAUAGCUACAGUGAGCACAUAUAUCGUUCCCACAAAGACUAAAAGUAUUAGUAAUUACCGUCUUUCUAUUAUUUAACCGAAAAUUUGGAAUGAUUGAUUAAAAACUAAAAUUAGCUAAUUAAAUUAACUAAAGAACACAAAAAAAAAUAGGAAAAUAAUCGAGAAAACAAUCAACAAGCGAAACAAUACCUAAUAGAGAAUUCACCUAGACUUCAUCUGUCACUAUCAAUCUGAAUUAAACAAUUUCUUCACUUAGCUUCUUAAUCCAUAGAAAUCCCUAAAUUAUGUUAAUAUCUCUUUCGAGAGGAAGAGCAACUGACUUUGGGUUGAUUAAUUGAAAUUGCUUUCUAAUUAAAACCCCUAGUGUUGAUUAACUCAAUCUAUGGAUCCCUCUAUUAGAUUUAACUCUAAUUCGAUAGAUUUAUGUAGUCCUAUUUCUAAGAUUGCAUGCAACUCCACUCAAUUAUGUUAGAUCUACUCUUAAACAUGAAUUUUUCCUCCUCUACUCAAGCACAUCAAACAUGGAUUAAUAGUCCGAAAAUAUUAAACAAAGAAUUAAGCACACAAAAUUAAAAACAAGAUCCAAAUAUUUAUUGUGUAAAAUAGAAAUCAAAAGACAGAAUUCAUCUCUCGUAGGUAUUUAGAAGAUUAGUUCAUAAUCGAAAAUAAAAACAUCUCAAAGACAGUAUAACCACAAGAAACAAGAAAACCCAUAAUAAACUUUAAAGAAAUCAAAAAGAGAUCUUCAAUCUUGAUGGAAAUCUACUUCAGAGUCAGCUUCAAUAGUGUUUUUUCUAGUCGUCUUCUUAAGUAUUCUUUGACGGCUUGCUCCCUUUUCUUAUAUUUGGUAUAUAUAGGUCUUAGAAUGCCCGAAAAACCUAAAAAUUGUGUUUGUCUGCAUUUUUGGAGUGCAGUUUGCGAAAUCCACACGGUCUGGCACAUGACCAUGUGGCAGCUCGUGUGGCUCACACGACCAUGUGUCCAGCCCGUGUGGCUCCUAAAACUUGCUCUGAUUUUCCAAUUUUCGCUCGUUUAUCGUUUCUUUUGCCCCCAAAUGCUCUCCUAAAUAUAGAAACAUGAAUUUAAAGGAUUAGGAAAAUAAAAUUCGCCGUUUUAAAUUGAAUAAUCAUCCAAAAACGCAUUAAGAAUGAGGCUAAAACAUGUUACUUUUAGCAUUUAUCAACAAUCUACCAAUUUGAUCCUAAAUCUAAAAAAUUGAACAAAUUCGACCCUUAAUUUUUACAAGAUUUUUCAUUUUAGUCCUAAUUAUUAAAAAAUAAUUUGAAAAUAUUAAAAUUUUGAAAAAUUAAAUAUAAAAAUAAAUUUAAGAUUUUUGUAUUGAAAGUGACUUUCAGCAGUAUCUUCCACUUUGUUUUUUUCUUUCCUUCAAUUGAUGACGUUGAAAAUAUCAAAUGUUAUGUCCUUCACCUACAAUCUCUCUCUAAUUCUUGAGUUAGAAAUGACAAAGACACAAGAAUACUAGAACUUGAAAACUGGUAUUAUCUUUAUAGCAAAGAGUAAAGCUGUUGGAGUUGGUGUCAUCAACCCAACCAUUUUUUUGGGUUCAUAAAUUUGUUAAUUUUUAGUUUUUCUUUUUCUAGGUUUUGACUAGGCAUUUAAGAUGAAGAAUGUAGCAAAACAAAAAGGGCACUAAAUUAAAAGAGAUUGAAUAAAAAAAUAGCUUUAAUUUCUGGGUUUUUCACAUGUUUGAUCGAUCAGAAUAUGAGAAAGGUUGAUGAGAAAAAUAAAUAAAUAUUAUAAAAUUAAAUAUAAAAUUUAAAAAAUAAAAAAUAAAUGUUUUAAAGAGUUUUUCAAAAUGUAUUUGAUAAUUUUUAUAAUUUUGUAAAUAUUGAGAGCCAAAUUUUUUAAAUUUUUUACAUUUAAAAUCAAAUUAAUAGAAAAAUAAAUAUUAGAGUGCUAAAAUUAUUAUUAGGCCAAUAAAAAAACCCACAUUCUUAAUAAGUUAACAAAAAGAAUGAAAAAUAUUUUUAGUUUCAAAAGGUUGAAUGACUAAAUCCAUUAAUAAGCUAUUCAUUUCUUUGAGACUCACGCAUCAGGUCUCUUGGUACCUUAACCACGGUGUGAACGGCCUUUAAACGGCAACUGCCAAACCAUAUGUUAAUGUGUAUUUGAGCCCAACCAUUAUACUCUAAAGAUGCUAUAACUUGUUAGAAUCCGUCUACUUCUCAAACAUAAUUUCCUUUUUUUUUCAUUAGAACUGAAUUCUGGAUAAGCAAUUAUUGACUAGUCUUGUAUGCUAUUAAUCUCAACAUUCAAAUUUGUUGGCAAAUAGAUCUCAAAAGAUAUUGUAUGAUGCUGGUUUCAUAUGUCAUAAAGAUAUUGUAUGAUGCUGGUCUUCAUUCCUUGCCCAAAUGAAGGAAUCUCCCAUGUCCACCAACAACUCAAUUAGGUUCCUUACAACGAAGGAAUUGAACAAAUUUUGAUCUGAAUUCUGGAGGAAUACGAGCAGGACGAUAAUUUUUGUCAAGCCAUACAGCUUUGGCCUUUGCCUCCAGAAUAGGCUGCACAUCAAAUCAUCAGGUUACUAACGAAAACACCAAAUCCUUGACUUGAAGAAGAAGAGUUGCAGGUUUGAUCAUAACAAACCUCUUCAUUUGGCAUCUUAAAGAUGAAACACUCAAAGUACAGGCGAGCCCCUGAGGAGUUGGAAAUUCUCGCCUUAACAACAAAUUUGUCUCCACUCUGGUUUCCAGAAUGUACAUGAGAAGUAGACAUAAGUAAGAUUACUGAAGGGAUCAGCUAACAUGGAGAAAAGCUAAUCAUGCUAUGAAAAGUUGCAGCAGACAUGCUGAACUGGCACAAGCUAACAUUUCUAAUGAAGUUUGCUGAGUUCAAUUCUAGAAUGAUGCAAACAUAACUGCGUGUAUGAUAUACCAACCUCGCCAAAUUGAAAUCCAAUUUUAGUACUGUGUCAAGCAUUUAUUUUCUAAUCUUUUUAAUAAAACUCAAUUAACACUUCCAGAAAAGCAGUUCUGCAUAUCCUAGCACUGCAUUUAGUUAAGUGUACAGAAGAGUCUCAAGCAGAUUGCAUAGAAGAUUAUUAGAUUGAACUAUUUAAUUUCUAUACCAGCUGGAAUAGAAUUUAGAAGGACUCGUACUCCUAUGGAACUCCAGCUAACAUAUCAAUUGCUUUAGACUUAGAAGUAUUCUUAAGCUCUACCUUGCGCUUUUAAACUAAAGAAAUUAAGAAACAAGAAAUUCAAAAGAUAGCAAGAACUUUCACCUCUUUUCACAUAAGUUGUUGAAUAAAUAGGUAAAGUGAUUAAAGAAAGUGGCCUACCCUUAAAGGUCUAAGAAAUUUGAGCGACAACUCUGAUAGUGCUAAUGAAUCACCAGUAUGGGCAGCUUCAUCACAGCUGAUACCAAUACUUCCAAGUAGUUCAUGGCAACCUAAUUAUCCAAACAAGAGUGGUUCUAUAUCAACAAAAUAUGAUUUAUAUAUAUAUAUAUAGCAAUCAAAACACAAAGAACAUGCAAGAGUUGAAUCAACUGCCAGGGUAAACUGCAAGGAAAACGUCAUCGUCAGAACCUCUAUAUCCACUUCAUAAUCUACGACUGCCAACAGCAUAAUUCCAAUAGCAUGAAGUCCUUUUUUAAUAGUAGUUUUAGACAUGAAAGAGAACAAACCGUUCAAAGUAAAACCUCUCCUUGGUGAUCCUAACUCAAUUCAUGGACCAAGUCCCAACAUUUUAGAAGGUUUUUGUUUCGUAAAUAAAUUGAAUGUGAAUUAAAGAGAACAUACUUUAUACUUCAGCAACUAGUGUAACAUCCCAGAAUAGGGCCUAGGAGUUUGAGGCCUGGCAAGCUGUGAUUUCCAGUAGAUUUUGCGAACUAUGAUCGCCAGUAGAUUUAGUGAGAUGUGGUAGCUAGUAGGCCUGGCGAGCUGUGAUCGUUCUUUUGGGCCGAGUGUCAAAAGUAGGAGUAGUCAAAUGAGAAUUAUACCAAAAUUAGGUAGUCAACAUACUUUUCUCUUCGUAAACCAUUUAUGCACGUAACUCCUUCCUACUUCUAAUACGACUAGGGUUUCCUAAGAACAUCGAAACACUUUAUGCCUAUAAAUUAAACUCCUUUCAUUGAAAAUUCAUAUUCUUUGUAAAAAGCAAAGCUCUCUCAAAUUCCUUCAUCCAUAAUCCUGUUGUCAAGAACGUAGAACCUAACUCUUAGUCACCUCAGACCAAAGAGGAUUUAAGUUGAAAACUGAGAAAGGGCGGCUCAAAUAUUGAUCAGAAUGGGGCAUGAAGCGAUUAGAGCAACUCGAAUCUUCGGGCAUAUGGUAAUCUUGUUACACCUGAAUCAACAAGAAAGGGUAGGCGACAUCUUGGGGCAUCGACAAAGCAUUGUAGAUCUCCUAAACACAUGUCAAACUCAGAAAGGUCUUUAGAAAGUUUGUACAGAGAAGUUCAAGCUGGGAUAUCUAGGGCACCCAAUUCUCAUAUUAUUUAUGUUGAAUUUGUUGUUCUUGGAAUAUUUUUUUCUUUUUCAAGAUACUUAUUUCCAAUCAAUUUCUUUAUUAUCCUUCUUUACUAUUUUUGAUAAUUUAUUCCUUUCGAGCUAUGCUCAGAACCAACUUUAUUCUUAUCCAUUGUCAUGACCCUUUUUUGCAAGCAUGUUGCAUUGGAAUAAUGAUCAAUGGAAUAAUAAAAAUUUCACAAAGGAAGUUUUGCAUAUUACUUUGAAAAAUUUCUAAAUAAUAUAGGAACCUGAAACAGGACUAUUGUUGAGAGCACACCAAAUUUAAAGGUUGGAAAUUUGAGAAGGAAGAGUCUAAAUUUGGACUUUCUCUUUGGAUUUUGUUGUCAAAUACAUUGAUUGAACAAAAUGAUAAGAUGACGGGUUAAUGACAAAGCUUAAAUAAAUAAGCAAACAAUAAUCAUCAGACAGGAGGAAGAUGUUACCUCGAAAAAGAGAGCCUUCAUCUGCGCAUAAGUCUUUGGUACGACACCUUGGGAAUGGUGUAAGGAACUAGAACAAUUUAGAUCAUGUAUCCUUGAGUUGUGAUAGAAAGAUUGAGGAAAAGCCACAUAUUUCUACACUUAGAUUACAGUGGGAGAAUGAUGGUACAAAUUUUGGGCCCCAAUGGAUUAAACUUUAAGGUUUACAAUGGGGGGCAACCUGGCUAAAUGUUUCUUCAGAAAAGCCGGUCAAGCGAGAACGCGUUGUAGCGCGUCAGUGUCAAAGCCUUAAUAAACUUCGAGUAAUGACAACCUAAGCGGGAUCAUCCUCAAAAAAAUAAAACUCUGCAUUCAUGCAAACAUUAUUCACAUGUCUAGUUAGGAGCAUUGGAUUCAUUUUGAUCAUGCCAUCUUAAUCAUUAGGCAUAAUUAGGUUCAUUAUACAGGUCAUGUUCCCCAGAGAACAGAUCAGUGAAGAUAGCGGAUCUUGUCUUCCUACAUCGAUAACGAAGCAGAUCGAAAAUACCAAUUUUACUUCCCAGGCGAUGCAGUGGAACAGAUUAAAGACACAUCGGUGAAUCUUGCUUCCCCGACAUUGCAGUUAAAAAGAUUAAAGCUACAACAACAAAUCUUAUUUUCCUGGCGGUGCAGUGGAACAGAUUAAAGCCACAAUGGCGAACCUUGCUUCCAUGACAUUGCAGUUAAAAAGAUUAAAGCUACAACAGCGAAUCUUACUCCCUAGGCGAUGCAGUGGAACAGAUUAACGCCACAAUGGCGAACCUUGCUUUCCCGACAUUGUAGUUAAAAAGAUUAAAGCUACAGCAGCGAAUUUUACUUCCCUAGCGGUGCAGUGGAACAGAUUAAAGCCACAUCGGUGAAUCUUGCUUCCCCGACAUUAAAGUUACAACAGCGAAUCUUACUUCUCAAGCGGUGCAGUGGAACAGAUUAAAGCCACAUCGGUGAAUCUUGCUUUCCCGACAUUGCAGUUCAAAAGAUUAAAGCUACAACAGCGAAUCUUACUUCCCUAGCGGUGCAGUGGAACAGAUUAAAGCCACAUCGGUGAAUCUUGUUUCCCCUGCAUUAAAGCUACAACAGCAAAUCUUACUUCUCAAGCAAUGCAGUGGAACAGAUUAACGCCACAACGGCGAACCUUGCUUCCCCGACAUUGCAGUUAAAAAGAUUAAAGCUACCACAGUGAAUCUUACUUCUCAAGUAGUUCAGUAGAAUAGAUUAACGCCACAACGGCGAAUCUUGCUUCCCCGACAUUGCAGUUAAAAAGAUUAAAGCUACAACAGCGAAUAUUACUUCCCAGGCGGUGUAGUGGAACAAACUGAAGCUACAACAGCGAAUCUUGCUUCCUCGACAUCACAUUUAAAUAGAUUAAAGUUACGAGUUACAAAUCCUAUCUCCCCGACGUUGCGGUAGAGUGGAUCGAAGCACUAAUCCCUAUGCCACUGAAGAUGCAGUAGGAUGGGAUGAGGCUACUUGAAGAAGAAAAGUACCAAAGUCUAGCACGACCGGGCAAAAUUGGUCAUUUUAGAGUCUUGGCUCCGUUCCUGUUACACGAUAGUGAGCAAAGAGGGGCAGCUGUAAUGCCCAAUUAUUGCCCGGGCUCAGUUGAAUAAAUAAAAUUCAAUAUUUAAAGUCCAAAUACAUAGGCCCAACGUGGCCCAAAUUGUUUUAACCUACCAAACCUAUACCCAUUACACCGGUCCAAAUAACUAAAGCCCAAACCAACUAAAACCCGAAUCAGCCCAAAGCUAAGAAAACCAGAAACCCUAGGGUUUCUGGAGAUCCCAGCGCCGCAGCAUUUAGCCUUCAGCGCCGUAAUCAAGCUCUGCCCUCACACAUGCGCCACUACCGUACGCCAGCUGGCCCAUGUACCUGCAAAGGACAAGCAAACGCAGCAGAGACAAAGAAAAAAGAAAAAAAAUUGUAUACGGGGGAUUUCAUUUUUAUUUUUCUUUUCUUUUUCUUUGUUCGACUAUAAAAGAGCCUUUCAAAAAACCUGUAAAGGGGGAGAAAAAAAGGGGAAAAACAUGAACAUUGUAUCAAAAAUUCUGAAAAGCAAUAGAAAAAAACAAUUUCUUAAAGGUGAUUUGAGUUAUUUUCGCUGCUUUUUUCGUUUUAUUUUCUUUAAUCGUUUGAUAGUAAAAAGGAGAGAUAAAAGGGGGAUUUACCUUCACGUUGAUACCGGUUUAGUCCUCGGUCGCUUCGUCGGGAUCGGAGCUCGAGCAAGGACGGUGGGGCGAGGACUGACGGAGCCCCCUAAGCGGCGUGAAAUCUAGGGCCAGAAACCCUAGCAGAGAGCUUAAGCCUUUUUUCUUUUAUUUUUUUUGGUUAUGCAAAUGUGUUUUUAACGAAAACUUAGUUUAAAUAGCAACGCAAUACAACGACCCAGGGAGGAUCCGCGCAUUCUGACUUAUUGGUUUAUUUGCGCUGAGAGUCCCUUUAUGUUUUGCUCAGUUUCAAUCGGAUUUCUUUCUAUUUUUCUUAAUUUGUAUCGCAUAUUUAACCUUAUUUUCAUUUAAAUCCAUGGUCAAACGGUGUCGUUUCUGCGAUUGAUUUGGAUAAUCUCAAAGUUUGCGUAUAAUUGCUGAUUUGGUCCUUCAUUUUUAAAAUAAAUUUUUAAUUUAAUACUAAUUUAGUUUUCUUUCUCAAAAUUCAACGUUACUUUUUUAUUCUAUUUUUUAUAUUAUAGUAUUUAAUAUUAUUUAUAAUAUUUAUUUUGAUAGUGUUUAAGUUUACUAUUAUUAUAGUCUAAAUUAUAAUGAAUUAUUAUUUUAGUUUGCUUUUUUAUAUUUUCAAAACCAUUAUAUAUCAAUAUUUUGAAUCUAUUGUAUAUCAUUUAAUUUUGAUUUCUUGUUAUUAUUAUUUUAUUUUCAUUUGGAACUUUGGUUUUAAAAUUUAUAGAUUAUUAUUUUCAAUUUCAAAAACGUUUUCUUCAUAUUUUAUUUUGCUUUCAAAGUUUUUUUGAAUAAAUCUGUUAUUAUAUUCAUAUAUUUUUUUUCAUUAUUUUUACUAUUGGCUUAAUAUUAUUUUCAAACCUACUAAUAGUAUGAUUUCUAAGAUAUGAUACACUAUUCUUUUAAAAUUAUUAUCAAUAUGUUUUAAAUUUACAAACUUUUUAAAUUUAUUUUUAUAUAUACUUUUAUUUUUUCCAAUUUGAUACAUUAUUAUUUAUCACACUUAAUAUAUUUUAAGAAUUUGAUAUGUUACUUUAUAUUUCUCAAUAAUUUAUUUUAGAAUAUAGUUCCAAAUUUUAUUUUCACCAUGAUAUCUCAUGACUAUUAUAUCUAUAUGUAUAAUUUAUAUGGAAUUGUUGGUGUAUAUAAAUAAAUGUAAAGUAUAAUAGAUUUCAACUUAUAAAAUUUUAUACGCAUUUCAUACAUAAGUAUCUUAUUUCUUAAAGGAAGUUAUUUAUUUUGCUUGCUUUAGUUUAAUUAUUUAUUAUGAAAUUUUUUCUAAAUAUCUUUUUUCAAAAAUAUCUUUAUGAGAUUGAUUAUUGAUUUAUUAGAUACUUAAUUAUUAAUGUUGAUGUAUUAUAUGUUUGGUUGCUGCAUAUUAUAAACUUGGUUUGUUAUUCAUCAUCUGCUUUAUAUAUUGCUAUUCAAAUUAUGUUGUUUGCAAAAUUGCAUUUCUUUAAAGCAUUACAAUCGUUUUAUUUCAAAUUCCUAAAAAGGGCUUGGUGUUUAUGAGUUCUAGAGAGAAUUGUGCCCUAACUUACUGGGCUUCAAUUCUUCUCAAUGAAUUUAUAUCAUCAAGUAUCCAUUUUAUUAAAACCAUACAAUUGUUAAAAUAAAGCUCUUAAGAUUACAAAAUGUUGGAUCCUAACUUACUGGAUGUGGCAUUUUGUUGUCUCGAUUUUCAAAAAUAAAGGCAAUAUUUGAGGUUUAAGAAUUUCGAGAAAUUGAAUCCUAGCUCACUGGAUUCUGAUUUCUCGAUUGACUUAAACAAUCAGGUAACCUUCUUUAAACUCAUGAUUUUCAUAAAAAAGGAACACAUUUAAUUUCGAAGAUAGAAUUGUAACACCCUAACUCACUGGGUGUGAUAAUUUAUUUCUUCGAAAUAAGUGCGUCUUAUCAUUUAAGCUAGUUCAUCCAAGUUUUCUCAUCAAGGAUCGUAUUUUUAAAAUCUUUUCAGAAAUUCGACAAUAAAACAUUGAGCAAUCAAAUCAGUGCCAAUUUUGGGCGUUACGAGGGUGCUAACCCUUCCUCGUGCGUAACCGACCCCCGAACCUAUUUUCUCAAAUCUCGUAGACCAAAAUCAUUUUAAGGUGAGCCAAUCACACCCCAAUAAAAGAUCUGUGGUGACUCCAUUUAUUUCAAAAAGUCUAUUCCUUUUUUUUUUCAAAUUUAAGAAUGGUUUCGACAAUCACUUAACAACACAAAUAGAUAGAAUUUUUAACAGAAUGAUCAAUUUGCACUUUCUUCUAACGUACAAGGUCUAAUUUGCAUUUUUUUUAUGUAGAAGAGGCAAAAUGCAAUCUGACUCCUAGUACAAAAGUCUCCAUAGUACUUUUAUCCGUAGUUUUAUCAUUAUACUAAAUUAUAAUUUUAUAUUUUUCCAAAAAACCCUUACAAACAAUUUUACUAUUCUGAGACUAGAGGUGUUCAUGGAUUAGAUCAUGUUAGGCUUAAGCAUGAUAUUAGCAUACUUUAUGCUUGCUUCAACCCGAUCCAAAAUAUGAGCUUAAAAUUUUAUCCAAGCCCACGCAUAUUAGCAAAAGACUAACCUAAGCCCAUUUUAGGCCCAUCCAUAUUUAAAAAAUAUAUAUUUAUAUUAUUUCAAUUUAAUAUUUAAUAUUUUUUUAUUUAUUGAAAAUUUAUAUAGUUACCUUAACAUUAUAUUAAUGUUUACAUUAGAGUAGUAUUACAUAUUUAGUAUAUAUUUAAUUUUAUGUUAUAAAUUACAUAAUAUAUAAAAAUAACAUAAUAAAAAUUAUUAUAAACUUAAAAACAGGUUGGGUCGAGUUAAGCUCAAGUCUUGAAUGUUCAACCGGAGCUCGAUCCAUAUUUUAAAUAGACAUAAUUUUUUGUCUAAACUCAUUUUUUAAGUUUAAUAUAUUUACUCAAACCCUCCUAAAUUUCGAGUGGGCCUAGGCAAAUAGCCCCGUCCAUGACCGGGCUAUUUGGGACAAAUACCUUUCUUACACUCUCUUGCAUUCACCUUUGCAGUUUAUGAGGCAACACAUUUUCAUAAACAAGGCCUAUGGAUCUAGUUUCCAAGUAAACAUAUUAUUAUAAAAAAAAUAGUAAACAUCUAAUUAAACAAUUAGAACUUGAAAACUCAUAUUGUCAGCCUCAGCCACACUUUCCUUAUUAUAGAAAACUAACAUCUAUUAGCUAAAAGCUAAAAUUCAUAUGUAAUGUAGAGAGAAACGGAACCAUAAACGCUAGUACUAAAAUUUAAGUAUCCCACCAUUGAAUUAAAUUAAGGCUGUGUUUGAUAGGGGAAAAUAUUUUUCGGAAUUGGUUUUACACAUUUUCCAGUGUUUGAUAGGAGGAAAAUAUUUUCCUUUUGUAAAACCAAUUCCGCAACACAGGAAAACCAAUUACAAAUUUGGGAAAAAUGUCUUACGCCCUUAAUUUCGGUAAGACAUUUUCCGUUUUCUCUCCUGCCUUCUAAUACCUUCAUUCCUUCAUUUCCUUCCAUUUCCACACCCCCACAAGAUCUGUCGACUGAUUUUUCACUAACCCCCCACAAGAACUCCUUCAUUCCUUCAUUUCCUCGUUUCCCAGUGGCAGAUUAUCGCAGUUUUCUUUCAUUUCCUCGGUUCCCUCUUUUUCGACUGAUUCAGUUACCGAUCCAAACGUUCUCUCUGACCACCAUUUAUUUUUGCUAUCUCCACUCCAAUUUCCGUCAGAUCUGUGGGAAAUUUCAGGUAACCUUAUUAUUGUAGACAUUAUUUGAUUUUUUAUGGUUUUAUUUUCAAUGUCGAAAAAGACUUGCUGGGUUUGUGUUUUUUGUUUCUAUGUUAUGCAUUGUUCACUAAUUGUAAAAGGGUUUUGGGUUUUUAUGCACGAAAUUGGGUAAUGCAAGGUAAAUAAUAAAUAUGCAGAUCAGUAAUGUCUGAUCCUGCAAAUUUUCGUAUUUUUGGUAAAUAAUAAACUGUUGCUAGUUGUUGUUUUUGUAUUUGGAAUACUUGUAAAGUGCCAGUCUUUGGUUUUUUGAAUUGCAUGUGUAGUUAAACUGUUAUUGGUUGUUUUUGUUGGAUUGUUUGUGCUACAUUGUUGGUUUUGACCUGUUUCUGAUAUAAAACUGUUGUUUUUGUUUUUUCUUUGGACUGCUUGAGUAAUUAGGAUGAGCAUUUUGCCUAUCUUUUCACUACUAUUGGUGUUAGCUCUGAACUAUUUACUAAAAUGAUUAAAAUUGGUUCAUGACACUCUUUUCCUAUGCCAUUGAAUUGUUCUAAGUAUGAGUGCAAUCAUACUCAUAGUAGCUUUUAUUAUUUUUCAUCUUCAAUAUGUACAGAAUGGAUGGAAGCUUUCAUGCUUAAUCAUACAUGUGUCUAAGCUCUUUUUAUUGCUAGGAUUGAGAAUUUAUUGUUUGUUAGAAAUGGAAGGGGUCCUGAACCUUGAUAGUAUUUUUCUUUUUUUAUGGACAAAUUUGUUAAUUUUUUUGUAAUUCACGUUUGUAAAUAGACAAAUCAAGUUGUUGUUGUAAUAUUGUAGAUUUUAGCAUUAUACAGUUAUUGGUUGUUAGCACCCUCUAGGGAUUAGAUCCAAGAGGGAUGCUUUUGGGUUACAAAGUUUAUUUGAUGAGUAUAAUUCACUGAAUGCACUUCACAAUUGCUAUUUUUGGUCAUAUUUUUUACCAGUUUUGGACUGUUUGUAUUAAACCAUGUGAAUAAACCUAAUCGAACUGAUGAAGUUCAGUUCGGUUAUUUUGGCAAAUAAUAAACAUGCAGUUCAAAACUCGGCACCAGCUACUACCAAAAAUAAACGGGAAAACAAAAUGCCUAAGCUAGAUCCCAAUUCUUUCUAGAUGAAAACGAAACCCCCUAUAAUCUCUUUACUUUCUAUUACAUUAAGCAGUAACAGGCAGGGAUUUUGAUUAUGUUUAUUAGGUUUUGGGUUUGAACGAAUCAGACUUAUUGAUGAUGGCAAGACUGAUGUUGUCUUAGCUUCUAUUUUUUAUUGCUCCUAACGGUUCUAAUUUCUUUCUAUGCUUGACCUCCAGCUGUAUAGUUCUUGCUGUCCUAGCCUCUACCUCAGCAUUCUUACUCCUGUUGGUGGCCUUGGACGAUAUUUUCAUAAGAGGUUUGUGGUGUGUUUGAUUUAUGAUUUGGUAUAAUAUGCAUUUGUGGUUGUUAUAAUUCGGUUCAAGUGAAUUAAAUAGUUGUUGGAUGUGUUUGGGUAUGGUUUAUUAUUGAUUUACAUUUUUCUGUAAUUUGUUUACGUAUUACUUGGGAAAUGGCAGUGAUGAGCUGUUAUAUUUGGUUGAUGGUAGAUGUUAUAGAUUUAAAUAUAUGUAGUAAUAUAGAGUUUAUGGCAAGGAAUUAUGUUUUUUUUCUUUAAAAUAUAAUGAAAUUUUGUUUAAAUAUUACACAUUGAUAUCGAUUUGCAUGAAAGAGAUUGUAGUGAAUAUACAGUAUGAACAGGAGGGAAAGAAUUCAUGCACCCCACCAUUUUUUUUCACAGUUCAAAGACUCAGAAUUAAAGAAAAGAUGAAGUUGGAAAUGGGAGAGUCUCAAAACUUUUGCAAAUGACAGAUGAACCAAAAUCAAAUUUGUUUUUAACUUUUCAAGUAGAUUUUGAUUUAAGAAAUCAGGAAGCUAGUAAUAACUCAUCUAUAUAGGCUUGUUGGAUAUUGAAAUUAUUGACAAUGACAAUUAUUUAAUGUAGAAUGGGUAAGGGCAACAAAGAAGGGACCUCCAAGCAAUUCAGGUGGACAAAACCGGUGGAAUAUGUUUUCCUUGAAAUUCUAGCAGAGGAGGCUCGAAAAGGAAAUAAGCCUUCUAAUACUUUCAAAGUAGUUUCUAUUAAUCGAGUUGUCGACGCCAUUUCUGAAAGAUUCCAAGUCCAAUGCGAUGCGAAGCAUGUGGAAAAUCAUUUGAGGACAGUAAAAAACCAGUGGCAGAUUAUAUGCAAAAUUCAAGGUGAAAGUUGUUUUGGAUGGGAUGAUAACAUGAAAAUGAUCACAUGUGAUAGAGCGACAUAUGAUGCAGCAGUGAUGGUAAUAUAUGUAUAUAAAUGUUAAGUAUAUUUCAAUUGUUUUUUACUUGUUAUUCUAAUUGUGUAUAAUAUCCAAUAGGGACACAAGAAGUAUGAGCCAUUUUUGAAUAAAAGCAUUGAUCAUUAAGAUGAAAUGGCUUUGGUUGUUGGCAAAGAUAUGGCAACAAUGAGUUUUACCAGAACAUUUGCUGACAUAGAUUUAGAUGAUGGUAAUGAAAAUUCAAUGCCUAUAGACCGCGACAAUGAAGAGACUGAAGAGGUAAGAACAAAUGUAUCUUCAUCUGGCACAUCCAAACGUAAAAGAAAAUGUGGUCAAGAAAGUCUCGUUGAUGAACAAAUUAAAUUUGUGGGUGAGCAACUUGGCAAAAUUGCUAAUGCUUUGGAACAAUUUACUGCUGAUAAGACAUCACAGCUUUACGAACAACUGAUGUCGAUGGAGGAAGAAGGAUUUGAUGAUGACUUCUUGUGUUCUGUGUUUGAUUAUCUAGUGAGUCAUGAAUCCGAGACCAAAGUUUUUUUAGUUAAAAGUAAGAAGCAUAAAAAAAUUUGGCUUCAAAAAUUUUCUCAGGGUUGAAGAUAUUAAUACUUUUAUGUGGUGUAAUAUUAUGCACUUGGACAAUGUUGUUACUAUGUGGUGUACUACUAAUUAUGUAUUUGGACAAUGUUGUUACUAUGUGGUGUACUAUUAAUUAUGUAUUUGGAUAAUAUUAUUUCUAGUACUCAUUGUGGUUUCGAAGCAAUUUAUAAUUAUUCAAUACUUAUUUUUUAACACUUACAAAUAAUUUAUUUGAUAUUAGUUUUUUUGAAUUUCUAACGAUUAAUAUUGUAGCUUAAUAAUUGAGUAUUAUUAUAAAUAAAUCAUUGCAAUAUAUGUAAAAACAAUUUAAAAUAUAAAAAUUUAUUAAUAUAUAUGUAAAAAUAACUUUUCCAGAAAAUAUUUUCAGGAAAUCUGUCAAACAGCAGAAAACAUUUUACACAGAUUCAAUCAAACACCAAAAAAUAUUUUUUAGUAAAUCAUUUUUUGGAAAACAUUUUACUGCCAAUCAAAUAGACCCUAAAUGUUUUCGUACCAAUACCCCACUAGCCCAUUGCCAUUUGGAGCAUCCGCCAAAGGGCUCUCCAGCACAAAGGUUCACCCAACUCAGAAUCCUCCCAUACAUUGCCCAAAGAUCUAUUCCAUCACAUCCAUCAUAUCUCAAAUGGCAUGACUUCCUGAAAUCAACCACCCACUGAGUGACCUCUCUCAUCCAAUCACGCCGCCCAAAACCUUACAAAACAGGAAGGGCCAUUGUUAGUUAGGGCCCGCCUACAGAAUCCUCAAGGCCUUUUGCCUAUAAAAACACCCUCUUCCUCAGGAAGAGGGGAAGAGCUAUUCUUUUCUCUGAGACUCACGCAUCAGGUCUCUUGGGACCUUAACCACUUGUGAACUGCCUUUAGCCGCCAACUGCCAAACCAUUUGUUGAUGUUCUACUCUACCCACUAUUCGCAUACAUCUAAAGAUGCCAUAACUUGUUAGAAUACGUCUACUUCUCAAACAUAAUUUCCUUUUGUUUCAUUAGAACUGAAAUCUGGAUAAGCAAUCAUUGACUAGUAUUGUAUGCUAUUAAUCUCAACAUCCAAAUUUGUUGGCAUAUAGAUCUCAAAAGGUAUUGCAUGAUGCUGGUUUCAUAUGUCAUAAAGAAACAAGAAUUCAGGCAUGCAGUAUAGUUGAAGUGUUGGCUCAAGAAACACAAUUAUAUUUAUAAGAACAUAUUUUACCUUUCUAGAAUCCAAUUGGCAUUUAUUCCUUAAUAUUUGUAAAUGAAUGGUGUGUUCAAGAAUCAUAUUCUUCAUUCCUUUCCCAAAUGAAAGAAUCUCCCAUGUCCACCAACAACUCAAUUAGGUUCCUUACAACGAAGGAAUUGAACAAAUUUUGAUCUGAAUUCUGGAUGAAUACGAGCAGGACGAUAAUUUUUGUCAAGCCAUACAACUGUGGCCUUUGCCUUCAGAAUAGGCUGCACAUCAAAUCAUCAGGUUACUAACGAAAACACCAAAUCCUUGACUUGAAGAAGAAGAGUUGCAGGUUUGAUCAUAACAAACCUCUUCAUUUGCCAUCUUAAAGAUGAAAUACUCAAAGUACAGGCGAGCCCCUGAGGAGUUGGAAAUUCUCGCCUUAACAACAAAUUUGUCUCCACUCUGGUUUCCAGAAUGUACAUGAGAAGUAGACAUAAGUAAGAUUACUGAAGGGAUCAGCUAACAUGGAGAAAAGCUAAUCAUGCUAUGAAAAGUUGCAGCAGACAUGCUGAACUGGCACAAGCUAACAUUUCUAAUGAAGUUUGCUGAGUUCAAUUCUAGAAUGAUGCAAACAUAACUGCGUGUAUGAUAUACCAACCUCGCCAAAUUGAAAUCCAAUUUUAGUACUGUGUCAAGCAUUUAUUUUCUAAUCUUUUUAAUAAAACUCAAUUAACACUUCCAGAAAAGCAGUUCUGCAUAUCCUAGCACUGCAUUUAGUUAAGUGUACAGAAGAGUCUCAAACAGAUUGCAUAGAAGAUUAUUAGAUUGAACUAUUUAAUUUGUAUACCAGCUGGAAUAGAAUUUAGAAGGACUCGUACUCCUAUGGAACUCCAGCUAACAUAUCAAUUGCUUUAGACUUAGAAGUAUUCUUAAGCUCUACCUUGCGCUUUUAAACUAAAGAAAUUAAGAAACAAGAAAUUCAAAAGAUAGCAAGAACUUUCACCUCUUUUCACAUAAGUUGUCGAAUAAAUAGGUAAAGUGAUUAAAGAAAGUGGCCUACCCUUAAAGGUCUAAGAAAUUUGAGCGACAACUCUGAUAGUGCUAAUGAAUCACCAGUAUGGGCAACUUCAUCACAGCUAAUACCAAUACUUCCAAGUAGUUCAUGGCAACCUAAUUAUCCAAACAAGAGUGGUUCUAUAUCAAAAAAAUAUGAUUUAUAUAUAUAUAUAGCAAUCAAAACACAAAGAACAUGCAAGAGUUGAAUCAACUGCCAGGGUAAACUGCAAGGAAAACGUCAUCGUCAGAACCUCUAUAUCCACUUCAUAAUCUACGACUGCCAACAGCAUAAUUCCAAUAGCAUGAAGUCCUUUUUUAAUAGUAGUUUUAGACAUGAAAGAGAACAAACCGUUCAAAAUAAAACCUCUCCUUGGUGAUCCUAACUCAAUUCAUGGACCAAGUCCCAACAUUUUAGAAGGUUUUUGUUUCGUAAAUAAAUUGAAUGUGAAUUAAAGAGAACAUACUUUAUACUUCAGCAACUAGUGUAACAUCCCAGAAUAGGGCCUAGGAGUUUGAGGCCUGGCAAGCUGUGAUUUCCAGUAGAUUUUGCGAACUAUGAUCGCCAGUAGAUUUAGUGAGAUGUGGUAGCUAGUAGGCCUGGCGAGCUGUGAUCGUUCUUUUGGGCCGAGUGUCAAAAGUAGGAGUAGUCAAAUGAGAAUUAUACCAAAAUUAGGUAGUCAACAUACUUUUCUCUUCGUAAACCAUUUAUGCACGUAACUCCUUCCUACUUCUAAUACGACUAGGGUUUCCUAAGAACAUCGAAACACUUUAUGCCUAUAAAUUAAACUCCUUUCAUUGAAAAUUCAUAUUCUUUGUAAAAAGCAAAGCUCUCUCAAAUUCCUUCAUCCAUAAUCCUGUUGUCAAGAACGUAGAACCUAACUCUUAGGAUUUAUGGUUAGACUUUGUUCCCUAGAAGUAAGUAAGAAAAGUUCGCAACAAAGCAAACCAAGUUCGUCAAAAAACUAGCAUGUGCGAGCCUAGGUUCGCUUUUGUUUAUAUAUGAGUUUUAAUGUACUUUUUCUGUUAGUGACUUGUGUAUGUUUGUGAAAUUGCGAAAUUUCCAAAACCAUCAAAAACAAAGACACGGGAAAAGCGAAACUUGUUCAAAGCUUUCAGCAAAUUGGUGAGUGUUCAGGGAUUACCACAUGUAUGUGCGAAACAAGUGUUCAUUAAAAGCUUAGGGUUUUUAUUCUAAUUUUUGAGAGUAAGUUUUUUCUAAAACAAGUUUUGUGACUGUUAAAUAUGUGUUUUUAUGAAAAGUGCGAGCUUUUCAUGAUUUUACGCUUUUCAUGAUUUGCGAACUCUAUGUUUAAGAAAAUGUUUUUGACACUAUAAUCUUCCGAAACCGUUGGAUAUAAUGGCAUGCCAUAGAAUUGUAAGUACUCACCUUUAUGUUUUGUGUUUUGGCCAAGAGACCCUAAGUCAGGUUGGAGAGAUAAGAGAAUGUUGAGCUAAGAUCCAUUCAAUGAGACAUACUGGUGUGAUUGGAGAGUGGUUAUCUUUAUGCUACACUUCUUGUUAGACUCUUUGAGUCAAAGUGAGGUGUUAUAAGGAAUUCUGCUUAUCCAACAAGAAAGAACAUGUGAAUAAGAUUGUUUUAUGAAAUAUUAUGUUUUACUGUUUUUAAGCUAACUGACAGUGAUUAACUGUGAAUUAGACUUCGCAUAAGUAUGGCAAACCUAGUUCGCAGUUCAGUGAGUUUGCCAAAGCUUUUGUUUAACUUAUGAUUUGUGUGUGCUAUGUGGUUAUUAUUUACUGUAUAUUCAUUGAUUUCGCAAGAGCUCAUACACUCAUUUCUAAACAUUGCAGAUAGUUAGAUGGACUAGGUGAGACGGCGAAACGAGUGAUCCAAAUGAAGCAUAAACACUAGAAAUGUAAUACAAGUGAACUCUGGAUACUAAGGCAAUAUGAGAUAUUCUGCUUGGGCUUAGCGAUAUUUUUCUAUUGACUUCACCGAUUGUUCUAGGACUUAAUUAUUUGUACGAUUUCUUAUGUUUUUUCUUUAUGUUUUAUUUGUGAACCGAUAAUACUUGAUAAACACAUUUGAAUUUUAAGUAUACGAAUAUAAUCCAAGUUUGAUUGAUCUUUCUUAAAUUACAAGUUCAUACCUAAGUAAUUAAAUUCUGAACAUAGUGUUCUCUAUAAGCAAUAGCAUAAAAUAUAUCAAAUCGACUAACUUAUAUAGAGUUCACCAAGGUUGCUGCGAAGUAAUAGGAUUGGCGAACUGUGCAAAAGUGCAAACCCAAACAUGUGGCAAAUUAGUAUUUGUGAACCUUUAACAAAUUUUGACAUAUUGAAUAGUAGAAACCCUGCGAAAUGUGUUCACAAAUCCUAAGUACAUAAUGGCUGAUACAUGCACGGAUGGGGUGAAAUUUAUUAAAUUCCAUUCACCAAAGCUGCCAAUUUUCAAGCUUGGGAAAUCAGUAGACUUGUGAUGACUUUUUGGCUGGAAUAUUGGCAUUUUUGGGUUGACAUGUAUUCAUAGGGUUUGAAGAUCUAUCUCUUAGCUUCAAAACGCACUUUGAAUCACUCAAUUUUGUGUUUGAGAGCUCAAGUUAUGACCGUUUUAGUGAAGACUACACGAGGAGAAUUUCUGGACGGGAUUAUGACUGGAAUUACAAGUUUUGGGCUUUUAAUUCGAGUUUAAAUCAUAUUAGGUUCGGGUUUCAGACUUAAUUUUUCUUAUAUAUGAGCCCAAUAUUGUAUUUAUUAGCUAUUAUGAUUUUAUUAUUUCGAAUUUUGAAUAGUUAUUAAGUAGUUUAAGUUAUUUAGAAGUUUUAUGUCAGCAAGAAAGCUUAGUUUAAAACUACUUUUUGUUUAGAUUAAUUAGAGUUCUAGUAUACUUAAGAGUUUUAUUAGAUUUAUUUAGCUAGCCUAUAUAUAAGCCUUUGCAUUGUACACAAAUCACACAAUUGAUUAUUAUUCAAGUUCUCUUUGAGUUUUCUUUCAAGAAUUAUUCUUGAGUUUCUUUUAUAAGAGUUUUUAAUAAUCUUUUUAGAUUGUAGGGAUCAUCUUCAAACUUUUUUCUUGCCAAGGUUUAGUUUGGAGGGGAAAUUAGAGUCGCUUGAAGGGGGUUGGGAAUUCUUCGUGUUUCCAAGACUUUUUAGGACUUCUAUAUAUCACGUUUUAUCUUUUUCAUCUAUCUUCUUAUUUUCUUCUUUAUUGUUCCAAUCUUUGAUUUAUUGUGCUAAUUAUUUAUCUUAUUUAUUUCUUUUAUUUGACUUGGAUUUGAGUGUGUUUCUGAUUAUAUCAAAAUCCAAGUUUCUUUUCGAACUUCUAGAGCUCUAAGUCAAAUCUGCGACUUGAACAAACUUUGUGAUUUGCUUCUGCGUUCAUCCACACUCAUCCGUAUCAAGGGUAGUUUGUGAGACUUACCCUAUAUAAGGAAACUUACUCUCUGAAAUCUUAGAGUGUGAAACCCAAUACCAAAUAGUUGAAUUGUUAUAUAUUUUUUUGCAAAAAACUUAGGCUUCGUAUGUUUUCAAUUCCCUUCUUCAAAUAUUUGUGACUUCAGAAAAGAGUAGUUAAGUUCUUACAAGUGAAGUAGGUUCACAUAUGACUUUCGUUGCGUAUCAUGAAGCAAGUCAAGUGUGUGUUCGCAAGCUUGUGCUUUCCCAAUUUUUAUGUAUGCUUUUUUUCUAACUUGUGGUGAGCUGGAGGUUAGGUUAGGUGUUAAUAGAGAGUCACUUAGGUGGCUAAUGUGGAAUUCCAUAGCUUGGGUUCGACGACGGGAUCGGGUAUAGGGUGUUACAUUUAAUGGUAUCAGAGGUCGUCAUGUUGGUUGAAAUAAUUAAUUAGGUUUGCCAGGUUUGUUUACUAAUUGAAUUGAUAAAUAUGAUUGCUUGUUGUUGUUGGGGUGGGAUUGGGAAAAUACAUUGCCUUGGUUCAGUUGUUUCUUUUGCAGGAUUAUGCUUCGAAUCAUUUUUCGCUAUUCACCUACCUAGUUGUUGUACUCACAGACAUGCUUGGUGAGCUAUGCUUGUAAUGUGUUUUGGCGAAUCGUGUUCGCAGAUGAGAUUGGCAAACUAAGUUCACAAAUGUGUUUGUCAAGCUUAGGAUGCAUAAUGGAACAUGCUUAUGAUCUCUUUCUUAAGCUUGUGUCUUAUGUACAUUUAGAGCUAGUAAAAUGCCUCGUAGAAGAGUAAUUGCGAAUAUGAGCUUAGUUAAUAGAGCUGCAGACCCUCCUAAAGGUGACAGGACUUUGGUGUCACUUGUGUGACCUCGCAAUGAAAAUGUUCUGGUUGAGAGUGUCGAAUCGUGCGAACAAGAGGUCGUGGCCAAGAUAAGAUGCAAGCUCAGAACUAAACCCCCACACCAGUGCGAACAAGAGUUCGCGAGCGAGGUCGAGAUAGUGGUGGUGACAUAAGACAGGCUAGAUAGCGAACCUUAGCGCACACUGUUGCCACCCAAGGUGGAACAGGAAGGCUCACAUGAAUAUAUGCUGUAAAGGAACUACAAUACCAGGGAGUGACUGACGUCAUCACAGGUACCUUCACUCUGCGAACUAUUUCGUAGUUUUUUUUAUUGAUUUUCGUUCCAACACUCAUACAUUUUGAGUGAAUUGGCCUGUGAGUUAGGUAUUCUAAUAGGACACAUUAAUAAGGGUAUAACUAUUACUAGUUCAUUUGGUGAGAGUGUUCUAGUCAAUAAAGUGUAUUUUAGGCGCCCUUUAAUGAUCCAAGGACAUGUUUUCUUUGGUGAUUUGAUAGAAUUACCCUUUUAUGGGUUCGACAUGAUUCUGGGAAUGGAUUGGCUAACUAAGCAUAAAGCCAAGAUAGACUUUGAGCUGAAGGGUGGAAAUUAUUGUGGUUGGAGAGUGAACCCAAUUUUUGUCCAAUUAGGUCUUGACAAUAAGAGCAAAGAAGAUGAUAGGGAAAGGUUGCAUAGCCUACCUCACUUAUGUGAUAGGUUUACAGGACAUAACGAUAUGGGUUUGUGAUAUACGUACUAUAAAAAAAAUUUCCAAAUGUAUUUCCAGACGAGCUACCUGGUUUACCACCAGAUUGUGAAGUGGUGUUCAACAUCAAUUCUAGUGUACUCGCAAACUGAAGAAGAGCAUGAUGCUCACCUGCAAAUUGUGUUACAAUUUCUGUGAUAGAAUCAACAUUUUGUGAAGCUCAGAAAAUGUGAAAUUUUGCUAAAAAAGGUAGUAUUCUUGGGUCAUGUGGUUUCGGCAGAAGGAGUUUGCAUAAACACAAAGAAGAUCUAGGCAAUUAUAAAGUGGAGAUCACCGAGGAGUAUUACUGAAGUGCGAAGCUUUUUGGGGUUAGUAGGAUAUUAUUGUAGGUUUGUUGAAGGGUUUGCCAUCAUAGCGGCACCUUUAACAAAGCUGCUGCAAAAAGAUGUGGAGUUUGUAUGGACAAAGGAAAUAUAGAAAAGCUUUGAAGAACUUAAGGUAAUACUCACCAAAGCACCUAUACUGAUUCAACCAAAAUCUGGAAAAGACUUUGUAGUUUACAGCGAUGCCUCACACAUGGGAAUUGGUUGCGUGCUAAUGCAAAAAUGAAGGGUGGUGGCCUAUGCUUCGAGACAGUUGAAGCCUUAUAAGCGAAACUGCCCAACUUAUGAUCUGGAGUUAGCAGUAGUGGUUCUCACAUUUAAGGUUUGGCGACACUACUUAUAUGGCGAGCAAUUUUCCAUCUAUAUAGACCAUAAGAGCCUCAAGUACCUUCUCACGCAGAAAAACCUGAACUUGUAACAAAAAAUGUGCAUAAAACUGCUGAAGGACUAUGAUUGCAUGAUAGAACAUCACCCUAGAAAGGCAAACGUGGUCACAAAUACCUUAAGUAGGAAGUCAAUGAGUGAACUGUGAGCUCUGUUCACAUGGUUGAGUGUGACAAGUGAUGGUAGACUGCUCGUAUAACUGCAAGAAAACCAACCCUCUCACAACAAAUAAAGAAGAUGCAGGGCACCUAUAAAGACUUGGCGAGGUGGGUUCGCCAAGUGGAACAAGAGAUUCAGGGGGGCUUCACAUUGAAUAAGAAAAGGGUACUCUAUUUUCAAGGGAGAUUCUGCGUACCAUGUAAUGAAGAGCUUCACCAUGCGAUCCUUACUGAAGCUCACAACAGCCCUUACACAAUGCAUCGAAGGAGCAAUAAGAUGUAUCGUGACCUCCACGAACUGUAUUAGUGGCUGGGGUUAAAAUAAAAUGUCACAGACUUUAUGGCGAAGUGCCUAGUCUGUCAGAAUGUGAAACCAGAGCAUCAAUUUCCCUUAGGAUUGUUACAACCAUUCAAAAUUCCAUAAUGGAAGUCGGAAAGGAUCACCAUGGACUUUGUUCUAAACUUGACCCUAACUUCGAGAAAAAAAGAUGCGAUAUAGAUGAUUGUGGAUCGCCUUACAAAUAGGUCACACUUUUUCCCAGUUCGCACAAAUUACACAUUGCAAAAACUCAUAGAAUUGUAAAUCGUAAAGAUAGUACGACUCCACCGCGUACCAGUUUCCAUUACCUUUGAUUGAGAUCCUCAAUUCACCUCAAGAUUCUGUAAAAGUCUGCAAGAAGCUUUGAAUUCAAAACUUAACUUCAGUACUACUUAUCAUUUACAAACAGAUGCUCAAUCAGAGAGGGUGAUCCAAGUAUUGGACGACAUGCUGUAAAGUUGUGUGUUAGAGUUAGUAGGAUGCUGGGAACAUUAUUUACCUUUAGCAGAGUUCACAUACAACAAUAGCUAACAAGCAAGAAUCCAAAUGGAACCCUUUGAGGCAUUGUAUAAAAGGAAGUGUAGAACUCCCUUGUGUUGGGCAGAACUUGAUGAAAAGUGGAUAGUUGGACUAGAGUUGGUUCAUUAAAUAGAGGAAAAAAUAAAAAUGAUAUGCGAAUGACUGAAAACUACUUCAGAAAGACAAAAAUCCUUUGUUGAUUUAAAAUGAUGAAAAAUUGAGUACCAAGUGGGAGAGUGAGUGCUCUUAAAUGUCUCGCCAUGAAAAAAGGUUUUAAGGUUUCGACAAAAAGGAAAAUUAAGUCUAAGGUUUAUCGGUCCAUAUGAAAUGGUUGAAAGGAUUGGCCCAGUGGUCUAUGAACUCAAGUUGACACCAGAACUUGGGUGAAUCCAUGAUGUAUUCCAUAUAUCCAUGUUACAGAAAUAUCAUGCGGACCCAUCCCAUGUUGUGCGAGUACAAGAAAAUUAGGUGCAAACUGGUCCUACUUUUGAUGAGGAACCAUUUGAAAUUGUAGCUCGCAAGGACAACUUCUUGUGAAAUAAGAGAAUUCCCUUAGUCAAAGUGUUGUGGUGAAACCACAAGAUCAGCGAAGCCUCUUAGGAAACUAAGGAAGCAAUGAAGCGUUAAUAUCCUCAUAUGUUCUAACAUAGGUGAUUUCGAGGAUGAAAUUUCUUGAGAGAGAGAGAGUUGUAACAUUCCAAAAUAGGGCCUAGGAGUUUGAGGCCUAGUGAGCUGUGAUUGGCAGUGGAUUUAGCAAACUAUGAUCGUCACUGGGAUUGGUGAAGCAGGGAUCGCUAGUGGCCUGACGAGCUGUGAUUGUUGUUUUGAGCCAAGAUUCAAAAGUAGGCGUAGUCAAGGGAUAAUUAUACCAAAAUUCAGAAGCCAACUUACUUUCGCUUUGUAACACUAUCCAUGCACAUAACUUUUUCCUACUUCUACUACGACUAGGGUUUGCUAAGAACAUCGAAAUAUUUAAUGUCUAUAAAUUAAACCCCUUCAAUAGAAAAUUCAUAUUCUUUUGAAAAAGGCAAAACUCUCUCAAAUUUCUUCAUUGAUAAUCCUGUUGUCAAGAAUGCAUAACUUAGCUAUUAGGAUUUAAGCUAAAACUCUGUUCUUUAAAAGUAAUUAAGAAAAUAUCGUAACAAAGAAAACUAGGUUCAUCAAAAGACUAGCAUGUGUGAACCGAGGUUUGCUUUUGUUUAUAUAUGAGUUUUAAUGUGCUUUGUCUAUUAGUGACUUGUGUAUGUUUAUGAAAUUGUGAAACUAACAGAACCGUCUAAAAGCAAAGACAAGAGAAAAAUGAAUUUUGUUUAAAGCUUUCAAUAAAUUUCUGAGUGUUCAGGGAUCACCACAUGUAUGUGCGAACCAUAGUGUUAACUAGGAGCUUAGGAUUUUUAUCCUAAGUUCCGAGAGUAAGUCCUUUCUAAACACUGUUUUUUGACUAUGUUAAAUAUGUGUUUUUAUGAACAAUGAUGUGCGAGCUUUAUAUUGCGAGCUAAUUAUGAAAAGUGCUUUGCGAGCUCCUCAUUAUUUGCGAGCUCUAUGUUUAAGAAAAUGUUUUUGACACUAUAAUCUUUAGAAAUCGUUGGAUAUACAUGCCAUAUGAUUAUGAAUACUUACCUUUAUGUUUUAUGUUUUGGGUGAGAGGCCUUGAGACAGGUUGGAGAAAUAAGGGAAUGUCGAGUUAAGCUCCAUUCAAUAGGACAUGCUGGUGUGUUUGGAGAGUGCUUAGCUUUAAACUACACUUUUGGGACAUGUUAGAAUUUUUGAGUCAAAGUGAGGUGUUAUAAGGAGAUCCACUUAUCCAAUAGGAAAUAACAUGGAAAUAAGAUUGUGUUUUAUGAAAUAUUACGUUUUACUAUUUUUAAGCUAAGUGACAGUUUGUAACAACAAACCAAGACUUUGCGUAAGUAUGGCGAACCUAGUUCGCAGUUUAGUGACUUUGCCAAAGAUCUUGCUUAACUUAUAAUUUGUGCGUUCUAUGUGGUUAUUUUUUUCUGUAUAUUUACUGAGUUCGCAAGAGCUCACACACUCCUUUCUAAACACUACAGAUAGUUAGAUCGCACAAGGUGAGGCGGCGAAGCGAGUGAUCCAAACGAAGCAUAAACAUUAGAAAUGUAGUACAAGCGAACUCUGGAUACAAAGGCAAUGUGGAAUAUUAUGCUUGGGCUUGGAAAUAUUUUUUUUUUGACUUCACCAAUUGUUCUAGGACUUAAUUAUUUGUACAAUUUCUUAUGUUUUUCUUUAUGUUUUAUUUGUGAACCUAUAAUACUUUAUAAACACAUUUGAAGUUUAAGUAUACGAAUAUAGUCCAAGUUUGAUUGAUGUUUCUUAAAUUACAAAUUCAUACCUAAGUAAUUAAUUUCUAAACAUAGUGUUCACUACAAGCAAUAGACUAAAAUAUAUCAAUUUGACUAACUUAUAUAGAGUUCACCAAGGUUGCUGCGAAAUAACAAGAUUGGCGAACUAUGCAAAAGUGCGAACCCAAACAUGUGGUAAACUGAUAUCUACUAACCCUUAAUAAAUUUUGACAUACUGAUUAGGAGAAACCUUGCAAAACGUGUUCGUAGAACCUAAGCACAUGGGGUAGUUCGCGAGACUUACCUUGUAUAAGGAAACUUACUCUGCGAAGUCUUAGAGUUCGAACCCCAAUAUCAUAUGGUUGGACUGUUGUAUAUUGUUUUGCAAAAACUUAGGCUUUGCAUGUUCUUAAUUCUUUUCUUCAAAUAUUUGUGACUUCGGAAAAGAGUAGUUAAUUUCUUACAAGCGAAGUAGUUUCGUAUAUUAUUGUCGCUGCGUAUCAUGAAGGAAGCGAAGUGUGUGUUUGCGAGCUUGUGCUUUCCCAAAUUUUAUAUAUGUUUUAUGUUCUAACCUAUGAUGUGGUAGAGAUUAGGUUGAGUGUUAAUGGAGAAUCAUUUAUGUGGCUAAUGUGGCGUUCCAUAGCUUGAGUUCAACGACCGAACCAAGUAUGAGGUGUUAUUAGAUUAGUUAAUGACUAAGUAUAGACUUUCAUAAAUGGAAAUGCUAAAGUGCAUAGUCUGCCCUCUGAGUCUGACUUUUAUACAAGCAUUGCAAACAAUGAGACCAAAAAGCUGAAAUUUAAGGCAUUCAACCAAGUAAUAGUUCAUAAUAGAAUUAAAUAGACUAGAAAUUAAACUCUAAGGUUAUUUUCAAAUUCUAGCCAAAAAAGAAAGAAAACUCACAUCGAUGUUUGAGGGCUCAAGGCACCUCUAAUG